rnacentral:misc_RNA from 1 species
GAAUCGGUACUCUACGAUUCUGAGCAAAGUAAGAAAGUUUCAACUAUUCUGCAAGAUAGUCAGGUCCAGUUUGAUUUGGACCCGCUCUUAGAGAAUUCAGUCGACAUUCGACAACUACUGAACAAUAGCACACAAGUAAACGACGCCACUUUAGUGAACAUCAUUUUGGGGGAGAAGACCGCUGACCCAGUUACGGGUGUCCCAUUUAUUGAACUGCAACCUGCACAAGACAGUGUAUUGCCUACAUUCAAAGAAUUUGACUUUAUGACAAACCAAGAGCAAACAUCGAAGAUAUCGGAGGCCGGCUGGUCGGCCAGUGAGGGGGAGGAAUACAGUACGUGUGACAUCGAAAGUAUCGUGAACUCUCCCUCUCAAUCGGAGCACGACGUCACAUCAUCGACUCUCACCCCUCCCACCUCACCUUUUGAAAUAGUUCGUGGCCGUCCUGGUAGGAAGCCAUCCGCCGCCGGACCCCUCAGACCAAACCGAAAGAAACAGCCACCUAAGGGCACUGAAGAAUAUGUAGACAAGCGAGUGAGGAACAAUCUCGCAGUGAGAAAAAGCCGGGACAAGGCGAAGAAAAAGCAGCAAGAGACCGAACAAAGAGUGCACGAAUUGUCAACAGAAAACGAAAACUUACAAAAGAAAUUAGACUUACUAACAAAAGAACUUAAUGUGCUCAAAAGUUUAUUCAUCAAUGUUGGAGCCUCCUUACCCACAAAGUUCGACGAAAUCAUGUCCAGGUGACACACGAUCAACCAAUAGACGAGUGAUAAGGCCCGAUGUCUGUUCGGGUUUUCCUGUAUAUAGUGACACUGUUUACCAUGUAGAUAGUAUAAACUUGAUCUUUUUUACUUGUAAAAAUUGUACAAACACAGAACUGAACGGCGACAAUGCUGUUGAAGUAACAAGUUAUUGUUGUUGUAUUUUUAAAUACUUAUUAACUUUUUUACUUAAAUGUAUCAUUAAAAAUGAAAUAUUAAC